CUGACAUAGUCAUCAGAUCCUUGCUUGAAGAUUUUCAUAACUAUAAGUUGAACUUCUACAUGCAAGGAGGGGAGGCUACCCUGCAAGAGUUGCAUGGUUCACUAAUUCAGGCUGAGAGAAACUUACCAAGUAAACCUAAACAUAAGGAUGUUCUAAUGGUUAGUAGGUAAGCAGUUCAAGAAGAAAGGGGCUCCCAUGAAGAAGAACAAGGGCAAGGUAGUUGCCAAUGAGAACUCUUCAACCAAGCCAAAGGCCACUCCCAAGGCUAAGGUAGCUGCUCAACAUGAGUGCUACCACUGCCACAAGAUUGGUCAUUGGAAGAGGAACUGCCCCAAGUAUCUGGAGGAUAAGAAGACUGGUGCUUUAACUUCAGGGACUAAAAAGAAGUAGGAGCUUGAGCAAAGGCGAAGUGGAUCUCCGAGUAGGCAAUGGAGCAAGAGUUGCUGCUUUAGCUGUAGGAGAUUAUAGUUUACGCUUGCCUUCUGGUUUAAUAUUAGAACUUUAUAAUUGUUAUUACGUUCCAGUUAUUACCAAGAACAUAAUUUCUAUUCCGAUUUUGGAUUCGGAAGGUUUUUCAUUUCAAAUUAUGAAUAAUUGUUGUUCAGCA